rnacentral:lncRNA from 1 species
ACAUCGUACAUCAUAAUUAUAAGGAAUAAUUGCCUAUAUACUCCAAAAACUUUGAAAAUAUCUUAUUACCCUUAUUUUUUUUCCUUUUCAAUAUACACCUCAUAUGUUCUUCCGUUUUUUCAAAAUACCGAUACAGUUAUCACCUAUUAAGUCAAGUUGAGUUAAACGUGAGUUAAAUAUCUACUACAGUUAAAAAAAUUUAAAAUGACACUUUUGCCUUUAACUUAAGGGCAAAUAAGAAAUAUUAAUGAUAAUAAAAGGGUAUAUUUGAAAAGUCCAAGAAACAAAAUACUUUUUGUGCCCCUAACUUAAGAACAAAUAAGAAGGUGCGGGUAGAAAAGUAUAUUUGAAAGGACACAAUAGUAAUUUUAUAAAGAUAAUAGAGUUCGUUAACAUAAUUCAUUAACAGAGUUUAUUAACAGAUUUUAACUCUACGGGUAUAUUUGAAAUAAAUUAGAAUGUAAAAAAAUUAUUUUCAAUAUUAACCUUCCAAAAA